rnacentral:rRNA from 1 species
GGAGACUGCCGGUGAUAAACCGGAGGAAGGUGGGGACGACGUCAAGUCAUCAUGGCCCUUACGAGUAGGGCUACACACGUGCUACAAUGGCGCAUACAGAGGGCGGCCAACUUGCGAAAGUGAGCGAAUCCCAAAAAGUGCGUCGUAGUCCGGAUUGGAGUCUGCAACUCGACUCCAUGAAGUCGGAAUCGCUAGUAAUCGUGGAUCAGAAUGCCACGGUGAAUACGUUCCCGGGCCUUGUACACACCGCCCGUCACAC